rnacentral:lncRNA from 1 species
AAAAGUUACUCUGCAUAUAUUGUGUGAAAUGCUAGUGAGGCUUGUUCCUCUUAGUCUUUAGUCUUAUCUUGUGAGCAUUUGAGAGCUCUCAAGUGGCGACUUCCAACACUUAUCUUGGAGUCAUUUCAUCAUCCAAGUGGCGUGUUCAUCAUCUUAAACUCCAUUUUUCAUAAGCUUCAUUUUCCUUCAUCUUUUCCCAUUGUCAUUCCAUUCAAUUCAUAAAUAUGUUCUUGUUUUGCUUCCUUGUUUCUAUUCAGUCAUUUCCUUUUGCUAUUGCUUUCAUUGUUUAAUUCCACACCAUAUCUAUUCAUCAUCUCCCCCUUAUAAUUGUGUUUUCCUUUUGCCUUUGUGAAAUGAACCUUCACAUCUACUUAACCACUUGAUUAAGUUAAUGUCCAGUGGGGAUUUUCCUUAGGUUCUCACUGUUAAUUGCCUAAAAAUAUCAAUCAUAAAUCUAAAGUGUCACCUAAAUGAGCAAUCCUAAAAUCAACUCACAUCAUGUGGUAUCAGAGCUUAGGUUCUUAUGCUUAAUUUGCUUGAGUUGAUUUGGCACUUUACAAUUUCUUUACAUUCUAG